AAAAAUCACGCAAUUAGCGAUCCUCAUGUUCUUUAAGAUUAAAGGAGAAAAACAAGAUCGAAUCUUUACCUUUUUCGUGGAUAGAUCUUCACCUCAAUUUGAUGAUCGUAGAAUCGGGUCUCUAUAAGCCGCACACGCGUGCCGGCCUCUAUAGGUAUCCACACGAGGUUCUUGAUUUGAUCGAUGUCCUCACUGGGGUGCUAGCUCCCUUGCAAAAGGACGUCUAUUUGCUAGAAGAUGGAAGAGAGGAGAAGAGAUAUGACGGCUAGGGUUUUCUAAAAA
rnacentral:lncRNA from 1 species